rnacentral:lncRNA from 7 species
UGGACCAACAUGUCUUGUGUUCGAUCAAUUACCUACUAUGACAUAGCAAAUCAUGUCACAAGGUUAAAUUGGACAUACAUUAUAAUAUUUUUGCGACAUUCAUUUCUUUUCAUUAAAUAAAAUGACUACAAAAAAUGUCACAAACUCGAUGAUUUCGUUACAUUUUUCAACCAUUGUCAUGUUAGAAAAACAAAAAAUGAUAGACCUAUUCUAGUGAAAUUUGUAGUCACAUGUAGGCUUUGUGUGCCUCGCACACUGGUUCGACAACGUGUCUAAUGUCUAGUUUGGGUGAUAUUGAUCCGGUUCUUGAGCAUGAGGAUGUGAUGUUUGCACUUACAAAUGGUGGUGAAUAAGAGAUGGAGAAAAAAUGUAAAAAGUAAAGAGAGAAUUCAGAUAGGAGACUGGCGUCUCCAACCUUCAUGAAGAAGGCACCCUACUGCCCCUUAGACUGUAUGCAGCAGAUCAUUUAAAAUAGGAGAUUUGUAUUGUAGAUUACACUAUUUGUAGAGUGAAGUUUAAAAUAGGGGAUUAUAGUUGCUGGAGACAUCCUUAUAAUGCUAUAGGAGUGGUUUAUGGACACAUCUUAAUAAUUACAGAAAAUUUUCUAUGACCCACUAACAAAUAGUGGUUCAGUCGUGGGACACUAGAAAUAUCACUAUUUAUCAGGAACACACUGAUGAAUGUUGGCUAUUAUCAGCGUCACACUCCAACGAUUAAAAUUUCCAUUUCCAGCAUUACUUUGUCUACAAGAUUUUUCC